rnacentral:misc_RNA from 1 species
CAGAGUUGCAAAACUCCCAAACCAUAUGUUUAUCUCCCUGUUUCGUUGCUUCGGCAGGCGGCCCCUGGGAGGGGCUCUGGCCUCGAGAGAGGUGCCUGCCGGAGGUUCUAAAACUCCUGUUAGUUAAUGUUCUGUCUGAGUAAAAAUCAUAAUAAGUUAAAACUUUCAACAACGGAUCUCUUGGUUCUGGCAUCGAUGAAGAACGCAGCGAAAUGCGAUAAGUAAUGUGAAUUGCAGAAUUCAGUGAAUCAUCGAAUCUUUGAACGCACAUUGCGCCUAUUAGUAUUCUAGUAGGCAUGCCUGUUCGAGCGUCAUUUCAACCCUCAAGCUCUGCUUGGUGUUGGGGCGUCUGCAGCUCCGGCUGCAGGCCCUGAAAUCUAGUGGCGGGCUCGCUAUAACUCCGAGCGUAGUAAUUUCUCUCGCU